UACAGGGGGGGCAAGCGUUGUUCGGAAUUACUGGGCGUAAAGGGUUCGUAGGUGGCCACUUAAGUCAGACGUGAAAUCCCUCAGCUUAACUGGGGAACUGCGUCUGAUACUGGGUGGCUUGAGUGCAGGAGAGGAAUGCGGAAUUCCAGGUGUAGCGGUGAAAUGCGUAGAUAUCUGGAGGAACACCGGUGGCGAAGGCGGCAUUCUGGACUGUAACUGACACUGAUGAACGAAAGCCAGGGGAGCAAACGGG
rnacentral:rRNA from 1 species